UAGUGGCGAAUGAAGCGGGAAAAGCUCAAGUUUGAAAUCUGGCGGGCGACCGUCCAGAGUUGUAAGCUGGAGAGGUGUCGUCGGAUGCGGUCCGGGCUCAAUUUCCUUGGAACAGGAGGUCAUGGAGGGUGAGAACCCCGUAUGUGGCUUGGGUGCCGUGGCCCUCGUGACGUAUCCUCUAAGAGUCGGGUUGUUUGGGAAUGCAGCUCAAAAUGGGUGGUAAAUUUCAUCUAAAGCUAAAUAUUGGUGAGAGACCGAUAGCAAACAAGUAGAGUGAUCGAAAGAUGAAAAGUACUUUGAAAAGAGAGUGAAACAGUACGUGAAAUUGUUGAAAGGGAAGCGUUUGGCAUCAGCCCAUGGCGGCGGUCGAACAUCUGGGCUUCUGCCCAGUGCAUUCUGCAGUCGCCGGGCCAGCGUCGGUUCCACCUGGUGGAGAAAGGCCUUGGGGAAGUGGCACUCCCUUGUGGAGUGUGUUAUAACCCAUGGCG
rnacentral:rRNA from 1 species